UCUGGAAUAGCUUGGUUGGUAGAGCAUGAGACUCGUAACCUCAGGGUUGUGGGUUCGAGUCCCGUGUUGGGCAAAA